GACGAACGCUGGCGGCGUGCUUAACACAUGCAAGUCGAACGAAGUGGCGAACGGGUGAGUAACGCGUAAUCAACCUGCCCUUCAGAGGGGGACAACAGUUGGACACGACUCCUAAUACCGCAUACUGAAGGUGGGGAUUUCGUCUGAUUAGCUGGUUGGAGGGGUAACGGCCGACCAAGGCGAUGAUCAGUAGCGGGGCGGAGAGGAUGAACGGCCACAUUGGGACUGAGACACGGCCCAGAAUCCUACGGGAGGCAGCAGUGGGGAAUCUUCCGCAAUGGAGGAAAGUCUGACGGAGCAACGCCGCGUGAGUGAGGACGGCCUUAGGGUUGUAAAGCGCUGUUAAUCGGGACGCGGUACCGGAAGAGAAAGCAACGGCUAACUACGUGCCAGCAGCCGCGGUAAUAC
rnacentral:rRNA from 1 species